UACGUAGGGUGCAAGCGUUGUCCGGAAUUAUUGGGCGUAAAGAGCUCGUAGGCGGUUUGUCGCGUCGGCUGUGAAAUCCCGAGGCUCAACCUCGGGCCUGCAGUCGAUACGGGCAAACUAGAGUGUGGUAGGGGAGACUGGAAUUCCUGGUGUAGCGGUGAAAUGCGCAGAUAUCGGGAGGAACACCUGUGGCGAAAGCAGCUCACUGGACCACAACUGACGCUGAGACGCGAAAGCGUGGGGAGCAAACAGG
rnacentral:rRNA from 1 species